rnacentral:rRNA from 1 species
CCUACGGGGGGCAGCAGUAGGGAAUAUUGCUCAAUGGGGGAAACCCUGAAGCAGCAACGCCGCGUGGAGGAUGAAGGUUUUCGGAUUGUAAACUCCUUUUGUUAGAGAAGAUAAUGACGGUAUCUAACGAAUAAGCACCGGCUAACUCCGUGCCAGCAGCCGCGGUAAUACGGAGGGUGCAAGCGUUACUCGGAAUCACUGGGCGUAAAGAGCGCGUAGGCGGGAUAGCAAGUCAGAUGUGAAAUCCUAUGGCUUAACCAUAGAACUGCAUUUGAAACUGUUAUUCUAGAGUAUGGGAGAGGUAGGUGGAAUUCUUGGUGUAGGGGUGAAAUGCGUAGAGAUCAAGAGGAAUACUCAUUGCGAAGGCGACCUGCUAGAACAUAACUGACGCUGAUGCGCGAAAGCGUGGGGAGCAAACAGGAUUAGAUACCCUAGUAGUC